UACGUAGGGGGCAAGCGUUGUCCGGAAUCAUUGGGCGUAAAGCGCGCGUAGGCGGCCCGGUAAGUCCGUUGUGAAAGUCAAAGGCUCAACCUUUGAACGCCGAUGGAUACUGCCGGGCUAGAGUCCGGAAGAGGCGAGUGGAAUUCCUGGUGUAGCGGUGGAAUGCGCAGAUAUCAGGAGGAACACCAGUAGCGAAGGCAGCUCGCUGGGACGGUACUGACGCUGAGGCGCGAAAGCGUGGGGAGCGAACAGG
rnacentral:rRNA from 1 species